rnacentral:rRNA from 1 species
UACGUAGGGGGCAAGCGUUGUCCGGAGUUACUGGGCGUAAAGCGCCCGCAGGCGGUCGUCUCAGUGCUGGGUGACAGCGCGCGGCUUAACCGCGCGAGGACCCGGCAGACGGGGCGACUUGAGGGCCAGAGAGGGACAUGGAACUCCGGGAGGAGUGGUGAAAUGCGUAGAGAUCCGGAAGAACACCAAAGGCGAAGGCAGUGUCCUGGCUGGCACCUGACGCUCAGGGGCGAAAGCGAGGGGAGCGAACGGG